GACGAACGCUGGCGGCGUGCUUAACACAUGCAAGUCGAACGGAAAGGCCCUGCUUGCAGGGUACUCGAGUGGCGAACGGGUGAGUAACACGUGGGUGAUCUUCCCUGCACUUCGGGAUAAGCCUGGGAAACUGGGUCUAAUACCGGAUAGGAGCCAUUUUUAGUUUGAUGGUUGGAAAGUUUUUUCGGUGUAGGAUGAGCUCGCGGCCUAUCAGCUUGUUGGUGGGGUAAUGGCCUACCAAGGCGGCGACGGGUAGCCGGCCUGAGAGGGUGGACGGCCACAUUGGGACUGAGAUACGGCCCAGACUCCUACGGGAGGCAGCAGUGGGGAAUAUUGCACAAUGGGAGCAAGCCUGAUGCAGCGACGCCGCGUGGGGGAUGACGGCCUUCGGGUUGUAAACUCCUUUCGCUAGGGACGAAGCUUUUUGUGACGGUACCUAGAUAAGAAGCACCGGCUAACUACGUG
rnacentral:rRNA from 1 species